ensembl:lncRNA
AAAAUGUAAUAUAUUAUUUAGAGCGCACAUCACUAUUAUUUAUGAAGAACGACGUGAUCAUUCUGGACAUGUAGUUUAGUAAUGGGGAGAAAAAAAACGACAUUUGGAAAAACCCAUUCAAGAUCUCAUUCUCAAUACUGUUAGGAAGGUGUCCAUCCCAUUUAAUGCCCUCUUCCUGUUGUCAUUCUCCCAUCAGCCACAUCAUGAUUGCGGUAUCAAUAUUAGGACCGACUCGGAGUCACAAGCAGUUAGUCCUAAUUUGGAUACCGUACAGGAUAGCACGUUCUCUCAGAAAAGGAAGUCACCCAUAGACACUUUGAGUUGCAGACUUACACAGACAUCUAUCAUGUCACAAUUCACCCAAACUGUCUAGAUUGGCUGGAUAUUUGAAUAACAAGUGCAUUUGAUAAACUGUUAUGGAUGAUAGGCUAUGGUUAUAACCUGUUUUGUAUGACAGGCUAUAGGUUAUAACCUGUUUUGUAUGACAGGCUAUAGGUUAUAACCUGUUUUGUAUGACAGGCUAUAGGUUAUAACCUGUUUUGUAUGACAGGCUAAAGGUUAUAACCUGUUUUGUAUGACAGGCUAUAGGUUAUAACCUGUUUUGUAUGACAGGCUAAAGGUUAUAACCUGUUUUGUAUGAUAGGCUAAAGGUUAUCACCUGUUUUGUAUGACAGGCUAAAGGUUAUAACCUGUUUUGUAUGACAGGCUAUAGGUUAUAACCUGUUUUGUAUGACAGGCUAAAGGUUAUAACCUGGUUUGUAUGACAGGCUAUAGGUUAUAACCUGUUUUGUAUGACAGGCUAAAGGUUAUAACCUGGUUUGUAUGACAGGCUAUAGGUUAUAACCUGUUUUGUAUGACAGGCUAAAGGUUAUAACCUGUUUUGUAUGACAGGCUAUAGGUUAUAACCUGUUUUAUAUGACAGGCUAAAGGUUAUAACCUGUUAUGGAUUAUAGGCAAAAGGUUAUAACCUGUUAAGGAUUAUAGGCUAUAGGUUAUAACCUGUUAUGGAUGAUAGGCUAUAGGUUAUAACCUGUUAUGGAUUAUAGGCAAAAGGUUAUAACCUGUUGUGAAUGAUAGGCUUUAUGUUAUAACCUGUUAUGAAUUAUAGACUAUAGGUUAUAACCUGUUAUGGAUUAUAAACUAUAGGUUAUAACCUGUAAUGGAUUAUUGGUUAUAACAAGAAAGGACCACACUCUUUUUACUAACAAAACUGUGAUGACUGUUGAGAAGGUGACAUAUCCAGAAAGAAGUCCUAACUAUAUGUUCUUUGAAUUCAUACUUAAAAAAUGUCCGCAUUGUUUUUUUAAAAUUGUUAACCAAAUUAGAUUUAGUGAUUGUACAAUAUUAAAAGUGUACAUUUUGUUCAUUUAAAGCGAAGAAGGGAAUAAGACAUAAUUGCGUAUCUUAUUAUUAUCUUAUUAUUAUAAAGAGUAAGAAACCUCUUCUUCUGGUCUGUUUCUAUCCACAACGUUGUAUACAAUUGCUGGUUUUGUAAUGCACUGUAGAGAAAGCAGUUCCACUGUUCAUUUUUCUUCUCUUUUUUUUAAAUAGAAAUGGUAUUUCGAUGGUGUAUUCUUUUUGUUUGAUAAAUAAAGUUUUGAUACAAAA